rnacentral:rRNA from 1 species
UACAGAGGUCUCAAGCGUUGUUCGGAAUCAUUGGGUUUAAAGGGUCCGUAGGCGGUUUUGUAAGUCAGUGGUGAAAGCCCAUCGCUCAACGGUGGAACGGCCAUUGAUACUGCAAGACUUGAAUUAUUAGGAAGUAACUAGAAUAUGUAGUGUAGCGGUGAAAUGCUUAGAGAUUACAUGGAAUACCAAUUGCGAAGGCAGGUUACUACUAAUAUAUUGACGCUGAUGGACGAAAGCGUGGGGAGCGAACAGG